rnacentral:misc_RNA from 1 species
GAUGAAGAACGUAGCGAAAUGCGAUACUUGGUGUGAAUUGCAGAAUCCCGUGAACCAUCGAGUCUUUGAACGCAAGUUGCGCCCGAAGCCACUAGGCCGAGGGCACGCCUGCCUGGGCGUCACACGCCGUUGCCCCCCCAUCUACUCCUUCGGGAUUGCGGGGGGGCGGAUGAUGGCCUCCCGUGCGCCUAGCCGCGCGGUUGGCAUAAAUACCAAGUCCUCGGCGACGCACGCCACGACAAUCGGUGGUUGCGAAACCUCGGUUGCCCGUCGUGUGCGUUCGUCGCGCAUCUAGGGCUCGAAAAAAUGCUCGGCUCCGGCUGGGCUUUCAACGCGACCCCAGGUCAGGCGGGGUUACCCGCUGAAUUUAAGCAUAUCAAUAAGCGGAGGA